rnacentral:rRNA from 1 species
UACGUAGGGUGCAAGCGUUAAUCGGAAUUACUGGGCGUAAAGCGUGCGCAGGCGGUUUUUUAAGCUUGAUGUGAAAUCCCCGGGCUUAACCUGGGAACUGCAUUGAGGACUGGAAGGCUAGAGUACGGCAGAGGGGGGUGGAAUUCCACGUGUAGCAGUGAAAUGCGUAGAGAUGUGGAGGAACACCGAUGGCGAAGGCAGCCCCCUGGGCCUGUACUGACGCUCAUGCACGAAAGCGUGGGGAGCAAACAGG